UACGGGGGGAGCAAGCGUUGUUCGGAAUCACUGGGCGUAAAGGGCGCGUAGGCGGCCUUCUAAGUCGAACGUGAAAUCCCUGGGCUCAACCCAGGAACCGCGUCCGAUACUGGAAGGCUUGAAUCCGGGAGAGGGAUGCGGAAUUCCAGGUGUAGCGGUGAAAUGCGUAGAUAUCUGGAGGAACACCGGUGGCGAAGGCGGCAUCCUGGACCGGUAUUGACGCUGAGGCGCGAAAGCCAGGGGAGCAAACGGG
rnacentral:rRNA from 1 species